UGUAGGGGUUUGAUACCCUGGGGCCGAAGUUAACACAUUAAGCAUUCCGCCUGGGGAGUACGGUUGCAAGACUGAACUCAAAGGAAUUGACGGGGACCCGCACAAGCAGUGGAGUAUGUGGUUUAAUUUGAAGCAACGCGAAGAACCUUACCAGGUCUUGACAUCCCCCUGACCGGUACAGAGAUGUACCUUUCCUUCGGGACAGGGGAGACAGGUGGUGCAUGGUUGUCGUCAGCUCGUGUCGUGAGAUGUUGGGUUAAGUCCCGCAACGAGCGCAACCCUUGACUUUAGUUGCCAGCAGGUAAGGCUGGGCACUCUAGAGUGACUGCCGGUGACAAACCGGAGGAAGGUGGGGAUGACGUCAAAUCAUCAUGCCCCUUAUGACCUGGGCUACACACGUACUACAAUGGCUGGUACAACGGGAAGCGAAGGAGCGAUCCGGAGCGAAUCCUAAAAAGCCAGUCUCAGUUCGGAUUGCAGGCUGCAACUCGCCUGCAUGAAGUCGGAAUUGCUAGUAAUCGCGGAUCAGCAUGCCGCGGUGAAUACGUUCCCGGGUCUUGUACACACCGCCCGU
rnacentral:rRNA from 1 species